rnacentral:snoRNA from 1 species
ACUGUAUGAUGAUCAACAAGGGACUUAAUACUGAUCAUGUAUGAUGUCACCUUUUUUAGUGUCUGAUGCAG